UAGGGAAUCUUCGGCAAUGGACGAAAGUCUGACCGAGCAACGCCGCGUGAGUGAAGAAGGAUUUCGGAUCGUAAAACUCUGUUGUUAGAGAAGAACAAGGACGUUAGUAACUGAACGUCCCCUGACGGUAUCUAACCAGAAAGCCACGGCUAACUACGUGCCAGCAGCCGCGGUAAUACGUAGGUGGCAAGCGUUGUCCGGAUUUAUUGGGCGUAAAGCGAGCGCAGGCGGUUUCUUAAGUCUGAUGUGAAAGCCCCCGGCUCAACCGGGGAGGGUCAUUGGAAACUGGGAGACGUGAGUGCAGAAGAGGAGAGUGGAAUUCCAUGUGUAGCGGUGAAAUGCGUAGAUAUAUGGAGGAACACCAGUGGCGAAGGCGGCUCUCUGGUCUGUAACUGACGCUGAGGCUCGAAAGCGUGGGGAGCAAACAGG
rnacentral:rRNA from 1 species